rnacentral:rRNA from 1 species
ACGUAGGGAGCGAGCGUUGUACGGAAUUACUGGGCGUAAAGGGCGCGUAGGCGGGGAUUUAAGUCAGAUGUGAAAACUCCGGGAUCAACCUGGAGACUGCAUUUGAAACUGAGUAUCUUGAGGGCUGGAGAGGAAAUUGGAAUUCCUAGUGUAGCAGUGAAAUGCGUAGAUAUGAGGAGGAACACCUGUGGCGAAGGCGUCUUCCUGGACUGUACCUGACGCUGAGGCGCGAAAGCGUGGGGAGCGAACGG